UACGGAGGGUGCGAGCGUUAUCCGGAUUUACUGGGCGUAAAGCGUGUGCAGGCGGUCGUGCAAGUCUGGCAUGAAAGCCCCUGGCUCAACUAGGGGAAGCUGUCUGAUACUGCAGGACUUGAGGGCUCGAGAGGGCGAUGGAAUUCCGCAUGUAGUGGUGAAAUGCGUAGAGAUGCGGAGGAACACCAGUGGCGAAAGCGGUCGCCUGGCGAGCCCCUGACGCUCAGACACGAAAGCUAGGGGAGCGAACGGG
rnacentral:rRNA from 1 species